UCGCACCAUCGCCGAGUUCCGGCGGCGGCAUCUUGCGGCGCUGUCGGAGCUUUUCGUGCAGGUUCUGAGGCUGUGCCAGUCCGCCGGUCUGGU
rnacentral:tRNA from 1 species